rnacentral:lncRNA from 1 species
GGGAGUUUUGGGGUUAGGAACGGCCAUUUUCCGGGAAGAGUAGAAAGUAAACGGACAAUCGGCCUCAUUCUCGAACGCAGUUAAGAAGAAUUUAAGAGGAAUUGGAUUUAGGACAACAUUCGGCAUUCAUGAAAGUUUUCUCAUCUGGGAUUUGCUCUGAACUUCAGAAGACUUUCCGAACUCGAAAUAGCAGUCGUAACUCGGCCAGAGUUUUCUCAAAUGCGAUUCCUUAAAAAACCACAAGAUGGCCCCGCAUUUAAGAAAACUCUCCGUGUUAAUGAAUUUGUGAGAAAUCGUUGGUGAUUGCGUUCACAUCAACUCUACAGAUCCUCGGAUUAAAGUAUCAUUAACAAUUACGUUUCACAUGUAGGCCUAUAGUCAUGAUUCUACGAGGCACCGUGAUGUCAUAAAAUAAAUAAAAGGACUACACCGGAAUGCUGCGCUCGUCUAGUGAGCGUCGUUUGGCACUGCCGUCUGUGCAAGUACGGCAAUCCAGAAUUUUCAAGUAGUUCCACGUUGGUGGAACGAACUGCCUAGCACUACCAGAGCAGGCGCGUCCCUCUCUACCUUUAAGAAGCUUUUGAAGACCCAACUCUUCAGAGAGCACCUCCCUUCCUAACUGGCACUUCGACUAGUGCUUAACUUGCACUUAUAGCAGUUACAUUCCUGCACUUCGUUUUUAUUUCCUAUUUCGUUUUUCUAUUUCUUAUGUAAAGUAGUAUUUAUUGUUACACUAGGUCUCUAUUGCUCGUAGCUUGACUGUUCUAUCCCUUGUACGUCGCUUUGGACAAAAGUGUCUGCUAAAUGACUAAAUGUAAUGUACACGAAACCGCUUUGACAUGACUCGUUUACGAGUUGCUUUCGUGUAGAUUCGGUCGAUUCCGACUGCACGCGUCACUACGGUUGCGUGCCCUUAUAAGGAGCUGGCAGGGCGUGUAUGUAUGCAAAUUCAGGAGCACGAGAACGCGCUUUCAAUUUAAGAAAACUCUUCCGGGGGAGCACAGCCCAGAAAACUUCUGCUGCGUAGGACCGCAUUUUCAAGCGUGCAUGAAUUUGGCGGAUGUCUUUUGCUUACGUUGUUUUUCCGAAGCCCGUAAGAAACAUUUCAGAAGAAACUUCAGAAAAUGUUCGAGAAUGAGGGCCAAUGUAUGCACGUCAAUUCCAUCGGUUGUCAGCACUAGAGGCAAUGUCUUUUCACUCUGUCAUGUAAGCUGAUGUUUGAAGCCACAGUAAACAGCA